rnacentral:tRNA from 1 species
AGUUUUAUAGUUAAAAAAAAAAUUAAAUUGCAAAUUUAAAGGUAGAUAAAUUUCUUAAAACUU